CCCCUGGUAUCCAUUGGUGUCCAGCGCGUGUCCUCGGCAUCCAUGGCCUGUGGAGGCGGCGGGGAGAGUGUUGUGACACCAAUUCCUGUCCUGGACAAUGAGGCUCUGACUGCAGCUGGAGUUCCACAUAUGCACAGCUGGGCUUCCUUUCUGCUGGAUUUGUUGUCUCCCAGCAGAGCUUCUGAUGCCUCCAGUCAAGUUCCACUGGCGCCAUCUGCUCUCCAAAAUUCAUGAGAAAAAGAAUGUGUUCCAGGUGCACAGACUACUGAUCAGUUUGUGUUUGCCAGGACAAAAGGAACGUGGAACAAUCCUCACAUUCACACUGUUUCAGAGAUCAUUUUCCCUGGUAAAAAUCAUGGCCUGUCAGUGAACUGGAACAACAAAUAAAUAAUUAACAUAGAAUACAUUACAAACAAAGAUGAAUAUAAUUGAGUGGUAGAAGAGCUAUGUGUCCAACAUUUUACUUUGGGGAAAGGAGGAGAAUGCUUGAUUAUUUUCUUUUUUCCCUGUACUUUUUAUAACUGCAAGAUCCCCAGGCAGGAUGGAAUUUUCUUGCUAUCCCCUGUCAUAACUUUCUUUUGAUUAGUAAGAACCCCAAGAAAUUGGGUGCAGUUUGCCACAAUUGUUUAGGAUAAUCUUGUACAAAGACUAUUUAGGAAAACUGUGAAUGCUUUAUAGGCUUUCAGAUUUGCCAGGUUUGAUGGGAUGAAUCUGUGCUUUUGGGAGUUAAUUUUUUAAAGAUAAUAUGUUAUAAUUUUCAUAGUAUUUUACCUGCCUCUCUCAGUCCAAUCCAGACUGGUCAGUGGGACAGAGAUUGUUUCUCAUGACAAAAUAUGUGUAGCAUUUAUUCUCACUUGGACUGUGGUAAAUAAUAAUAAUAUUCAAAUCCCUAAUGAAAUCUUAUCCAGUUGUUGCAGCCAGAACUGGCACACCAGUGAGUGCUGUUGGGACCUGACUGGGAAACCACUGAGGACAAGGAUUUGUGUGGCAGAGUUGUAUAAAUUGCUUCCAUGUUUGAAUCUUCCAUGUGGUAAUAAAAACCCCCCUGCAAGAUCAUUAAAAUGUUGUGAUUCUGAUAGAUUUUUUGAGCAGAAGUCUGCAAAUGGAGAUUGCUCUCUGAUACCUCAAAGCUCUGGGCUCCCUCACCUAAAGGGCUGAGACAAGAGCAGCACUGAACACACUUGUUAUUCUACUAUUCCCAGAGUAUGGGAUCCUCUCUCCUGAAUUAGGCCCUGCCUUCAUUCUGUAAUAAACACAAGUCCUAAUUCGUGUCAGCAAAGGAAACAAAUGGAAACAAAUGGGUUAAUGUAACCUCAGGAAAGAAGAGAAACAAACGGAUUGUAAAACUUAAUUACACCCCCAUAAAGACAUAAACCAGACCAUCACCUCCCCUGUCCUCCUAGCCAGGAAUUAUGUCCAAACCAGGUCGGGUCAGUAGCCUGCUGGUGCCUUCUGUCAAAGAACAUAUGAAUUUAUAACUUGUCGUAGAGAUAACAAAUUAGUCUUAGCUCUAAAAAUAAACAUAUGUUGAAUACCUGGAAUAGUGAUGUAAAAUGUGUAUGUUUGUGAUGUAAUGAAUAUGUAUGGGAUGUUUGAAAUAAAUAUCAGGCACACAAACUGUAUCAGAGUGGCAAGUCUAGGAGCAAGACCCCACUGCCACCCAGCCCUGCUUGCUUCUACUAUAUAAUAAAUUCUAAUUGGAAAAAUUA